UACGAAGGGGGGCUAGCGUUGUUCGGAAUUACUGGGCGUAAAGAGUGUGUAGGCGGUGCUCUAAGUUCGGUGUGAAAUCUCCCGCUUAACUGGGGAGGGUGCGCCGGAAACUGGAGUGCUCGAGCGUGGGAGAGGAAAGCGGAAUUCCUGGUGUAGCGGUGAAAUGCGUAGAUAUCAGGAGGAACACCUGCGGUGUAGACGGCUUUCUGGACCAUUGCUGACGCUGAGACACGAAAAGCGUGGGUAGCAAACAGG
rnacentral:rRNA from 1 species